ACCCAAGCUUCCUCCCCUCUCGUUCCAUCGAACCAGGUUUGCCACCGCCACCGCAAGCAGCCGCCACCGAGAGUCGUAGAUAAGAACGCAUCGCAAGAUAGCCGUUGUCGUGACCACUUGCUUACGUUAUCACUCAGGAUUUUGUCAGUGGUCUAUGGAGUUCACUAGGGCGUAGGGAAACCAUGCACGAAGUCGUUGAAGCCGGAGGUCGACUAGGUCACUGGGGAUUCCUCAUCGGAGACUCGUCGUUUCGCCAAACCGUGGUGCCGCGCGGUCUACAUGCUCUGGCACCCAAAUUGAAGAAGCGAGGUCAUGAGGAACCUGAAGCUCAAACUUGGAGAAAUACCUGAAGUUGCACCACAAAGGCAAGUUGUGUCCUUGAUCACAUUCUUUUAUCUAAUAAUGUUUCGUUAAUCACUGUGGCACUGUUAGGUUAAGCUAAUGAGACCUAAUAGGUUACCUAGUUUGUUUACCCUGCACCUUACAAACAAAUGACUUAUUGGGUAGACUUGCUAUUGCUCGACCUGGUUUUGGGAUUAAUGAUACUUAUGAUUCAUGACCAUGUUCGAUUAUUAUUUAGUAUAGUUGGUCAUCUAUUAUUGUUCAUGAUAAGAUCAUUGUGUUAAUUGGAACAUGGAGAACCACCUGAAAAAUAGUGUUACCACAAGGGUGGUAUGGAACGCCCUUGGCUGACUAAAUAAAAAAGCUAGUGGACGACUACCUUACCCGAAAGGGACAAUCGUGGUGUGAGGAGCUGUCGGUAUAGGGAGGUUCUCAGGUCAAUCAUGCUAUGAUGGCUUUUUGGAAGAGGGAUUCCUAUAUCGUCCAUUCUUGCAGAAACCGUAGCGGGUUUUUUGAAGCUAGUGGAACUUUGUAAAGGCCUCGUAGUGGGACCCUACCUCGUCUUCUCGGUAGAGAUGAAUGGGAAGUCGUGAUCCCUUGGCAAAUGGGUAACACGGCUUGUGGAUAAAGAUGUGCAACCUCUACAGAGUGUAAAACUGGUAUAUUAGCCGUGCUCAAGGUCAAGAGCGGCUCGGACCCUCACAAGAGUAAUUUAUGGAAUUAAACUUAACAUGUUAUUUUCAUUGCAUUCUUGGAUUUAUUAUUAAUUGUGAUCAAUUAUUUAAUUGGGUUGGUUUUUACUUAUACCUAGUAAUUGUUAAUAAAAUUUUGACGAACACUAACAGCAAUGCUCAGCCUUAACCAUUCUCCUUGGUAAGCCUUACACUACACUUUUCUCCACACUUGUUGAGCGAUAACCGUAUGGGAGCCCACCCUUGCUAUAAUCACACCAGGUCAAGUAUAGGUACCGUUGGAGGAGCAUGAAGGAUGCUACGAUGAGUUCGAAGAGGUUUAGGCCAUCGUCUUCCAGUCAACUAAAGUUGCGGAGGAUCGUUGUCAUAUGAUGUAUUUAUUAAGCUAUUUUGUACAGAACUUCUAUUAUAUAAUAAAGAUGUGACAUUGAUUUCUA